rnacentral:tRNA from 1 species
GCCAGCAUGAUAUAGUGGUUUGAAUGUUGGUCUAUGACUCUGAAGAUGAGGGUUCAAUUCCCAGUUCAGCCA